rnacentral:rRNA from 1 species
AGUGAACGCUGGCGGUAGGCCUAACACAUGCAAGUCGAACGGCAGCACAGUAAGAGCUUGCUCUUACGGGUGGCGAGUGGCGGACGGGUGAGGAAUACAUCGUAAUCUACUUUUUCGUGGGGGAUAACGUAGGGAGACUUACGCUAAUACCGCAUACGACCUACGGGUGAAAGCAGGGGAUCUUCGGACCUUGCGCGAUUGAAUGAGCCGAUGUCGGAUUAGCUAGUUGGCGGGGUAAAGGCCCACCAAGGCGACGAUCCGUAGCUGGUCUGAGAGGAUGAUAGGCCACACUGGAACUGAGACACGGUCCAGACUCCUACGGGAGGCAGCAGUGGGGAAUAUUGGACAAUGGGCGCAAGCCUGAUCCAGCCAUACCGCGUGGGUGAAGAAGGCCUUCGGGUUGUAAAGCCCUUUUGUUGGGAAAGAAAAGCAGCAGGUUAAUACCCCGCUGUUCUGACGGUACCCAAAGAAUAAGCACCGGCUAACUUCGUG